GCCACGAUAGCUCAGCUGGUAGAGCAAUUCAUUCGUAAUGAAUAGGUCGUCGGUUCGAGUCCGACUCGUGGCU
rnacentral:tRNA from 1 species